AUUGAACGCUGGCGGCAUGCCUUACACAUGCAAGUCGAACGGUAACGGGCCUCCGGGUGCCGACGAGUGGCGAACGGGUGAGUAAUGCAUCGGAACGUACCUUUCAGUGGGGGAUAACGUAGCGAAAGUUACGCUAAUACCGCAUAUUCUGUGAGCAGGAAAGCAGGGGAUCGCAAGACCUUGCGCUGAUUGAGCGGCCGAUGUCAGAUUAGCUAGUUGGUGAGGUAAAGGCUCACCAAGGCGACGAUCUGUAGCGGGUCUGAGAGGAUGAUCCGCCACACUGGAACUGAGACACGGUCCAGACUCCUACGGGAGGCAGCAGUGGGGAAUUUUGGACAAUGGGGGCAACCCUGAUCCAGCCAUGCCGCGUGAGUGAAGAAGGCCUCGG
rnacentral:rRNA from 1 species